rnacentral:lncRNA from 1 species
UUAGUCUUUAAUAGUGUAAUAUAUCUAAAAAUCUGGACUUAAUAGCGUCAAUAUGUUCAAAUCCUUUUAUAGAUCAAUUUGGGGAAGCCUCUUCUAGAUUUGAGCCCUAAUUUAGCAAAAAAUCAAGUCCUGAUUGGAACAACACAAAAAUGAAGAAAUAAACUUCCCUGAACGGUGGAGGAGGGCGGGGCUCGCUCCGGCAGACAGCGGGGUUGAGAUUGGAGCUGGGGCCGCGCGGCAGUGUCUGGAAACUGACGGUGGUGACAGGAAAAGGGCGAAGGUGACUGGGUGGCGGGAGACGGUGGCAGGAGGUGUUUGGCGCUGCUGGUAUGGUGUAAAUCGCGCCGACUGGUGGCUCUUCCUCGGCGUUCAUGAUAGGAACGAUGGGUGGCGCACGAAGCCGCCUUGUGUAGAUGCCGGGAGAUGGUGGGGGGCAGCGGUUCUGGAGUGGGUCGCGGUGGUGUUGCGCUGCGACGAAGGCGGCUGGGCUGGUGCUGUGGUGGUCGGACAGGUGGUGCGGCCGGAAGAGGGAGUUCAGCGGCGGAUUGAAGCUAGGGCACGGCGGCGGCAAGGAGCCGCUGUUGUCGCCGGAGUAUGGAGAGAAGAGGGGGCUUUGGGCUGCGCUCGGAGGCGGCGGCCUUCCCGCCGUGCGGUCGACGGGAAUCGGCAGGGAGGUGGCUGUAGAUUAUAGAUCUAGGAUUUCAGGCGCGGUGUGGUGUGCGUGCAUUUGAGUCAGAGAGAGAGGAGAUUAAGAGGGAGACGAGGGUGGGCGGCAGCGGCGCGACGCAGCGACAAGGGUGGGCGGCGACGGGCCGGCGCGGGGCAGCGGCGCCGGCGGCGGAGUCGAGAGGGGAGAGAGAGAGUCGAGAGAGAGCGGGAGGAGGCGGGAGGAGGCAGGGAGAUUAGAUGUGAGAGACGAAGAAAACUAGGGCUUCUAGUUUCUAAAUUUCCUAAAUAAAAUCUAUUUUUUUUCUUUUUUUCAGUUUUAAUAUUCAAUUUUUAGUAUUUAGAUUUCUAAUUUAGAUUUUAUAUAAGUGUUACUUAAUGAUAAAACAAAAAAAUGUUAUGAUUUUUUUAUUUUUCAAAGUCUAUAUCUAGAAAUAAAUUCAGAUUUUAGGAUAAAGAAUUUAUAUGUUAUUUUUUAA